GUCAGGAGGUGUAUGUAGUGGGUGGAAUAUGUCUGUCCAGCCAAAACUGUCUCUUGUCUAGGUUCUGGUAUCUGGACAGAGGUGUUUGACUUUGUUCUGCUUAUGUUGAAGCUGCUGGAAUCUUCCAGGGGAAGGCAAGCCCUUCCACAUUUUUCUUUGUAAUACGUCUCUCAUUCUGCCUGAGUUAGCUGAGGCCUGCUUAAGAAGUCAAGUGAAUCUCAUUUCUGUUUUCUCAGCUCUUGAAUUCUCAAUAAUAUAUUCAGCAGUCAGGAAGUACUGGCAAAGACGUUCCUCUAAGAAUUUUGGAAUGCUGAUGACUAUGUUAUUCUUAAGCAAAAUUAGAAUUAAAAGUGAUAGUUCAAAAGAGGUGCCAUGCUUUCUAGAUUAAAAACAGUCACCAUGUUCUGCAGCAGAGAUGUUCAGUAUUUAUUUAGAUGUUUGACCUCAUCCAGGUAUCUAGUUGGGUUUUUUAUGUUUUAUAUGUGCUACUGGACACCUUUUAUAAUAAUUUGGUUUGUUUGUUUGUUUUGUUUUUCAAACCUGGAUUUCUCUGUGUAGUCCUGGCUGUCCUGGAACUCACUCUGUAGGCCAGGCUGGCCUGAAACUCAGAGAUCCGCUGGCCUCUGCCUCCAGAGUGCUGGGAUUAGAGGUGUUAGAGGUGUGAGCCAUCACUGCCCGCGGUAAUUUUAUUUUUUUAAAAAAGGGAAAUUUCAUCAUCAAGUGUGGUAGUCACUUAUGCAAACACGGGAGGAUACGUGUA
rnacentral:lncRNA from 1 species